UUUAAUCAUAAUUAUGUUACUGAACCGUGCCUAUACCACGUGACCAUCGCCUUUAUUCUAUUUGCUGUUCGCCUUAACGACUGUAGACGACGAAAUCAACAACAAUGCCGCCUAAGGACGA